GAGGGUAUAGCUUAGUGGUAGAGUGUGUGCUUAGCAUGCAUGAGGUCCUAGGUUCAAUCCCCAGUACCUCCA
rnacentral:tRNA from 1 species